UGAUGAUACUGAUGAUGUGGCUGAUGAUACUGAUGAUGUGGAUGCACCAGAUAAACAACCAGGGACUGAAUUAGCUGGACAGUGCCAUGAUGAUACUGAUGAUGCUGAUGAUGAUAUGGGUACUGAUGAUGUGACUGAUGAUGCUGAUAAUGUGGCUGAUGAUGCUGAUAAUGUGGCUGAUGAUACUGAUGAUGUUGAUGAUGAUGUGGAUGCACCUGAUAAACAACCAGGGACUGAAUUAGCUGAACAGUGCCAUGAUGAUACUGAUGAUGUGGCUGAUGAUACUGAUGAUGUGGAUGCACCCGAUAAACAACCAG